rnacentral:rRNA from 1 species
GGGUGCGAUCAUACCAGCACUAAUGCACCAGAUCCCAUCAGAACUCCGAAGUUAAGCGUGCUUGGGCGAGAGUAGUACUAGGGUGGGUGACCUCCUGGGAAGUCCUCGUGUUGCACCCC